rnacentral:rRNA from 1 species
AUUGAACGCUGGCGGCAUGCUUUACACAUGCAAGUCGAACGGCAGCACGGACUUCGGUCUGGUGGCGAGUGGCGAACGGGUGAGUAAUACAUCGGAACGUACCCAGUAAUGGGGGAUAACUAGUCGAAAGAUUAGCUAAUACCGCAUACGCCCUACGGGGGAAAGAGGGGGAUCGCAAGACCUCUUGUUAUUGGAGCGGCCGAUGGCUGAUUAGCUAGUUGGUGGGGUAAAGGCCUACCAAGGCGACGAUCAGUAGCGGGUCUUAGAGGACGGUCCGCCAAACUGGAACUGAGACACGGUCCAGACUCCUACGGGAGGCAGCAGUGGGGAAUCUUGGACAAUGGGCGAAAGCCUGAUCUAGCAAUGCCGCGUGCGUGAAGAAGGCCUUCGGGUUGUAAAGCGCUUUUGUCUGGGAGCAAAUCCUUGUGGCUAAUACCCACCGGGGAUGAGAGUACCAGAAGAAUAAGGACCGGCUAACUACGUGCCAGCAGCCGCAGUAA